GCAGCUGUGGCCGAGUGAUCAAGGCGAUGAAUUUGAAAUCCAUGGGGGUUGCCCUGUGCAGGUUUGAAUCCUGUCGGCUGCG